rnacentral:tRNA from 1 species
GAGGGUAUAGCUCAGUGGUAGAGCACAUGCUUAGCAUGCAUGAGGUCCUGGGUUCAAUCCCCAGUACCACCA